GACGAACGCUGGCGGCGUGCUUAACACAUGCAAGUCGAACGGAAAGGCCCUGCUUUUGUGGGGUGCUCGAGUGGCGAACGGGUGAGUAACACGUGAGUAACCUGCCCUUGACUUUGGGAUAACUUCAGGAAACUGGGGCUAAUACCGGAUAGGAGCUCCUGCUGCAUGGUGGGGGUUGGAAAGUUUCGGCGGUUGGGGAUGGACUCGCGGCUUAUCAGCUUGUUGGUGGGGUAGUGGCUUACCAAGGCUUUGACGGGUAGCCGGCCUGAGAGGGUGACCGGCCACAUUGGGACUGGGAUACGGCCCAGACUCCUACGGGGGGCAGCAGUGGGGAAUAUUGCCAAAUGGGCGGAAGCCUGAUGCAGCACCGCCGCGUGCGGGAUGACGGCCUUCGGGUUGUAAACCGCUUUCGCCUGUGACGAAGCGGGAGUGGCGGUAAUGGGUAAAGAAGCACCGGCUAAUUACGU
rnacentral:rRNA from 1 species